UACGAAGGGGGCUAGCGUUGCUCGGAAUCACUGGGCGUAAAGCGCACGUAGGCGGAUUGUUAAGUCAGGGGUGAAAUCCUGGAGCUCAACUCCAGAACUGCCUUUGAUACUGGCGAUCUUGAGUCCGGGAGAGGUGAGUGGAACUGCGAGUGUAGAGGUGAAAUUCGUAGAUAUUCGCAAGAACACCAGUGGCGAAGGCGGCUCACUGGCCCGGUACUGACGCUGAGGCACGAAAGCGUGGGGAGCAAACAGGA
rnacentral:rRNA from 1 species